rnacentral:rRNA from 1 species
AGUGAACGUUGGCGGCGUGGAUUAGGCAUGCAAGUCGAGCGAUCGUAGCAAUACGGGAGCGGCAAACGGGGUAGGAAUACAUCGGAACGUACCUUUUGGUUGAGAAUAGCGUUGGGAAACUGACGGUAAUACUCAAUAAAGUCGAGAGACCAAAGGUUUACUGCCGGAAGAGCGGCCGAUGCGAUAUUAGGUAGUUGGUGGGGUAAUGGCCUACCAAGCCGGAGAUGUCUAGGGGGUGUGAGAGCAUGGCCCCCACCACUGGGACUGAGAUACUGCCCAGACACCUACGGGUGGCUGCAGUCGAGGAUCUUCGUCAAUGGGCGAAAGCCUGAACGAGCGACGCCGCGUGCGGGAUGAAGGCCCUUGGGUUGUAAACUGCUUUUGUCAGGGAAGAAAUCUUCUGGGCUAAUACCCCGGGAGGAUGACGGUACCUGAAGAAUAAGCACCGGCUAACUACGUG